rnacentral:rRNA from 1 species
AGCCACAGCCAUAUCACCCUGCAGCCCAAGACUGGUUGCCCACUGAAGCUAAAGCAGGGUUGAGCCUGGUCAGUACCUGGAUGGCACUUCUUGUAAAAGAGUAGGGGAGUAACCCCGGUGUCCUGGCCA